rnacentral:rRNA from 1 species
CACGUAGGGGGCGAGCGUUGUCCGGAUUUAUUGGGCGUAAAGAGCUCGUAGGCGGCUCAGUAAGUCAGGUGUGAAAACUCCAGGCUCAACCUGGAGACGCCACCUGAUACUGCUGUGGCUAGAGUCCGGUAGGGGAGCAUGGAAUUCCUGGUGUAGCGGUGGAAUGCGUAGAUAUCGGGAGGAACACCAGUGGCGAAGGCGGUUGCCUGGAGCUUUGCUGACGCUGAUGCGCGAAAGCGUGGGGAGCGAUCCGG